rnacentral:lncRNA from 1 species
GACAAGGGGAAGACACCAAAUCCCUGGACUCAGGCCUCACAUGAUUGAGUGAGAGGAACUCUGCUGUCAGACCCUACAAUGCACUCUUCAGUGGAAGAGGAUCACACAUUCCAAACAUACUCCAUCAGGUCAUAUGUUAAAUGACAGGGCUGAGACCUCUCCACAGCACAUCUGAUACUGGGAUCGAUGAAGAUCAGAUGUGCAAAUCACACUGGGCUCCGGAAAGCCCUAGACUGUGUCAUUCAAGAUGUGUGACAUGGAUAAAAAGCUCCCCAUAGUGGAAAGAGGUGCCAUAAAACACUAGACAAUGAGAGCAAGAUGGGGGACCCAAAAUGGUGCCCUGGCAUCGGCAAGUGGUGAAACCAGCCAUCUGGCCCUGUGCCCUGUCCUCAGAAGUGCCCCUGCCGCCCCAGCAGGUACAUUUGCAGGUGAAGAAUUUCUUUCGCUUUAGUGUCCUGGGAACCAAGUAUUUUCUGUUGGUGGUGUUUCUCUUGCACCAGAUGAAUUUUUGCCUCGCUUACCUGAGACUUAGACUGUCCCAAUUCCAGUCUCCACUGA